UACGAAGGGGGCUAGCGUUGCUCGGAAUCACUGGGCGUAAAGCGCACGUAGGCGGAUCUUUAAGUCAGGGGUGAAAUCCUGGAGCUCAACUCCAGAACUGCCUUUGAUACUGGGGAUCUCGAGUCCGGGAGAGGUGAGUGGAACUCCGAGUGUAGGGGUGAAAUUCGUAGAUAUUCGGAAGAACACCAGUGGCGAAGGCGGCUCACUGGCCCGGUACUGACGCUGAGGUGCGAAAGCGUGGGGAGCAAACAGG
rnacentral:rRNA from 1 species